rnacentral:rRNA from 1 species
GAUGAACGCUGGCGGCGUGCCUAAUACAUGCAAGUCGAGCGAACGGACGAGAAGCCUGCUUCUCUGAUGUUAGCGGCGGACGGGCGAGUAACACGUGGAUAACCUACCUAUAAGACUGGGAUAACUUCGGGAAACCGGAGCUAAUACCGGAUGAUAUUUUGAACCGCAUGGUUCAAAAGUGAAAGACGGUCUUGCUGUCACUUAUAGAUGGAUCCGCGCUGCAUUAGCUAGUUGGUAAGGUAACGGCUUACCAAGGCAACGAUGCAUAGCCGACCUGAGAGGGUGGCCGCCCACAGUGAAACUAGAGACGGGACCGAGCCCCUGCGGAGGGCCGGAAGAGGAACUCUUCCCGAAGGGGCGAAAGCCGAACGGUGCGACCCCGGGGAGGUGAGAGAGGUCUUCGAUGCUUAAAACUUUUUUAUUGGAGAAAAACAUAUGUUAAAUGACCUGGACCUUUCUUGAGGGUCCCAAAUCAGAAGGCCCGGGAAACUAUCGG